rfam:Bacillus smithii strain DSM 4216, complete genome.
UUCCCUUUUAAAUGCAGUCCAGAGAGGCUGACAAAGGGCAGAAUGAAUGACGGCGCUGCUGAUUUCGGUACCGUGUAUGGGAGAUCGAACAGCGAGCGCAUGAUUUUGCUUACCUCUUUGUCGGCGUUUAGCUGCAAAGAGGUUUUUUU